GUGCCAGCAGCCGCGGUAAUACGGAGGGUGCGAGCGUUGUCCGGAAUCACUGGGCGUAAAGGGCGCGUAGGUGGUUCGGUAAGUUGCUGGUGAAAUCCCGGGGCUCAACUCCGGGGCUGCCGGCAUGACUGCCGAACUUGAGCACGGUAGGGGCAGAUGGAAUUCCCGGUGUAGCGGUGGAAUGCGUAGAGAUCGGGAAGAAUACCGGUGGCGAAGGCGUUCUGCUGGGCCGUUGCUGACACUGAGGCGCGACAGCGUGGGGAGCAAACAGGAUUAGAAACCCCUGUAGUCC
rnacentral:rRNA from 1 species